GGCAAGUAACACAACUCACGGUUGACUGAGGAAAGUCCAUACACUGAUUUACCUUUUUUAAUUGUUUAAACACAAUAAAAAGGAACUGAUAAUCUUUUUGAUUAUUUCCAGAAAUGGUAGGCAACCACACAGAAAUGGCACGGUCCUUUAUUAAAAACAUGUGGCUUAUUAAAAGCUGAAUUGAUAGAGGAAUUCGUUGAAACAGUGAGCCCCAGUUUGUGCAAGUUUUGGAAACGCUUAGUAGAAUGUUGUGAAGAGUACUUAAUGAAAAGUUUAAACUUGGAAUACUCUACAAAAUAUGGCUUAUUACUUGCC
rnacentral:RNase_P_RNA from 1 species